rnacentral:tRNA from 1 species
UCCCUCAUAGCUCAGUCAGUAAAGAAUCUGCCUGCAAUGCAGGAGACCCAGGUUCGAUUCCUGGGUUGGGAA